rnacentral:tRNA from 1 species
UCGCCGUAGCUCAGUCCGGACAGAGCGUCGGACUUCUAAUCCGAUGGCCGUGGGUUCGAAUCCCAUCGUGCCCG